CCUACGGGAUGCAGCAGUGGGGAAUAUUGCACAAUGGGCGCAAGCCUGAUACAGCCAUGCCGCGUGUAUGAAGAAGGCCUUCGGGUUGUAAACUGCUUUUGUACGGAACGAAAAGCCCUGGGUUAAUACCCUGGGGUCAUGACGGUACCGUAAGAAUAAGCACCGGCUAACUACGUGCCAGCAGCCGCGGUAAUACGUAGGGUGCGAGCGUUAAUCGGAAUUACUGGGCGUAAAGCGUGCGCAGGCGGUUUUGUAAGACAGAGGUGAAAUCCCCGGGCUCAACCUGGGAACUGCCUUUGUGACUGCAAGGCUAGAGUACGGCAGAGGGGGAUGGAAUUCCGCGUGUAGCAGUGAAAUGCGUAGAUAUGCGGAGGAACACCGAUGGCGAGGGCAAUCCCCUGGGCCUGUACUGACGCUCAUGCACGAAAGCGUGGGGAGCAAACAGGAUUAGAUACCCGCGUAGUC
rnacentral:rRNA from 1 species